rnacentral:tRNA from 1 species
GGGCGGUUAGCUCAGCUGGCUAGAGUGCUACCUUGACAUGGUAGAGGCCACAGGUUCAAGUCCUGUACCGCCCA